rnacentral:rRNA from 1 species
UACGUAGGGGGCUCGCGUUGUCCGGAAUCAUUGGGCGUAAAGAGCGCGUAGGCGGCCAGAUAAGUCCGGUGUGAAAGUCAAAGGCUCAACCUUUGAAUGCCGCUGGAAACUGUCUGGCUAGAGUCCGGGAGGGGCGAGUGGAAUUCCUGGUGUAGCGGUGAAAUGCGCAGAUAUCAGGAGGAACACCAAUGGCGAAGGCAGCUCGCUGGGACGGUACUGACGCUGAGACGCGAAAGCGUGGGGAGCAAACAGG